UUGGUUUCUCAAAAUAAACAUUCUGGCACCAAAUUCAUUAUACAACAAAGUCCCUUCCAAAUAAACAUUUAAGCUUUCUAACAAAAAUGUAACGAGCCAUCUCAUGAAGUUCAAAAUACAAACAAAAUUCAGCUAACCAGAGGAAAACCAUAAGAUAAUAUUUCAAGGUUUUACGAAUACAAGAAAACUGACUCAACAACUCACACAUGUAUUCUACAACAUGACUAUUUGAGAGCGAUUGAAUAAUCUCUGGCUACAUGUUUGACCGUCUAAAUCUUUGGCUAACACUAUGGAAAACGUACACAGGGCCGGAUCUGAGAAUUUGGAGGUUUAAAACAUUUCUUAAGAACUCUAAAAAUUUUGCGGGCCGGAGUCAAUGUUUGGGGGCUUAAACAUAUGCCAAAAUUUUGGGGGCCGAGGCCAAUGUUUCAUUCGGCUGUCCCUAGAUCCGGCCCUGGACGUACAUGUAGAUUGCAUCGGUUCCCAAUUGCAAAAUGUACCUGUCAAUACAAGUUAAUAUUAAGUAGAAAAGAAUACAAGUUAAUUCUUACCUAAUAUCAUUUUCUUUCGAAUCAUGCUCCAAGAUAAAGUUGAUAAAAGGAGGCUUAAAUGAAAAUUCGUUUCCGUGCUUAUUACGUGUAGACAGUAUGUUCACGCAAUCUCUUAAGCUUUUGCCAACCGCAACUCUUUGU
rnacentral:lncRNA from 1 species